CGGGGCUGCUUAGUAUGACCGGUUGCUAGCGGCAACAUCUUUGCGAAUAUGUUUUUAUGCAAAUGUUUUCUCCAAACUGAAAACGUUAUUAUAUGUGUAAUUAGCACGACUGCUGGAAAGUGUAUAUUGUUUGACGUUGUGUCUGUCCUGCAUCAACAACAGCUGUAAUCCUAUGAGUUCCCAUUUCCAAGAAAGUGAAAGUAAAACUGGAGUGAGUAAGAAGGAGGUCCUAUUCCCAAAAGCCUAAUACCAAUUUAGCAAAUAAGUUAGGUGGCUAUCUGGGAAUUAGUGAUGUACGGACAGACCCCUUCCUGCACUGCAGCCUCCAGGAACACGACAUGUGCGCAAGAGACACGCCGUACAUGUUUGUGUCUGUCCUGCAUCAACAACAGCUGUAAUCCUAUGAGUUCCCAUUUCCAAGAAAGUGAAAGUAAAACUGGAGUGAGUAAGAAGGAGGUCCUAUUCCCAAAAGCCUAAUACCAAUUUAGCAAAUAAGUUAGGUGGCUAUCUGGGAAUUAGUGAUGUACGGACAGACCCCUUCCUGCACUGCAGCCUCCAGGAACACGACAUGUGCGCAAGAGACACGCCGUACAUGUGUGGGUUUUUUCCCGGUAUACCACUGGCCCAGUCUAACCCUGCCCCUGACCAUAUACUGGCAGUUUUACAGGCGCGUACCUGCCUGCCCCUUUUGUGAUGUCAUUGGUGGGGCGGGUCAGCACUGGUCUAUAAAAUAGGGAUGCACUGAAUCCAGGAUUCAGUUCGGGAUUCGGCCUUUUUCAGCAGAAUUCAGCCCUAUCUU